rnacentral:lncRNA from 1 species
AGUAGUGACGGGAGUGGUUCAAAUACACGUGAUCGUGAGAAGUGGACGGGUGCGAUGAUAUCCGCACGAAUGCACCGGAUCCCAUCAGAACUCCGAAGUUUAAAGUGCUUGGGCGAGAGUAGUACUAAGAUGGGUGACCUCUUGGGAAGUCCUCGUGUUGCACCCCCCUCUCUUCACAAAAUGUUUUGCCCCCUGCGUCGUCGACCCUUCUAACGAUAUAAAAUCAUGUAUAUUUCCUACAUUAUGACGUAGGGGAACCGAGACCGUUGGUAAUUCCGAGGUUCGGGUGGAAAACGGCCAAAACGGAGAGUAGUAGUAUGAUGGGUGAUCGUGUUGCAUCCCCCUCUUUUUGUAAUUUUUUUCCCCGGCGACGUUAUCGACACGCUUAGCGAGAUUACAUCAUUUAUAUUACAUGCAUAAUGUCGGAGGGGAUUCGAGAGGGCGGGUAUUUUCGAGGCUCGAACAGGAACAGGGCAAAAUGUAAUUAACUAGAUUACAUCGUUUAUAUUACAUGAAUAAUGACGGAGGGGAACCGAGAAGGGUGGUAUUUUCCAGGCUCGGGCGGGUAUUUUUGAGGCUCGUGCAGGAACGGGGCGAAAUGUAACUAAAAGAAAGCAAAAACCCUGAAAAUGAAGGGAGGAAGUAGUGACGGGAGUGGUUGAUAUACACAUGACGGUGAGCAGUGGACGGGUGCGAUCAUACCAGCACUAAUGCACCGGAUCCCAUAAGAACUCCGAAGCUAAACGUGCUUGGGCGAGAGAAGUACUAAGAUUGGUGACCUCUUGGGAAGUCCUCGUGUUGAACCCUCCUCUCUACACAAAAUGUUUUGCCCCCAGCGUCGUCGACCCUUCUAACGAUAUAAAAUCAUGCAUAUUUCCUACAUUACGACGUAGGGGAACCGAGACAGUUGGUAAUUCCGAGCUUCUAGGCUCGGGCGGGUAUUUUCGACGCUGGUGCAGGAACGAGGUGAAAUGUAACUAAAAGUAAGCGAAAAGCAUGAAAAUGAAGGGAGGAAGUAGUGACGGGAGUGGUUCAAAUAAGAGUGAUCGUGAGAAGUCGACGGGUGCGAUCAUACCAGCACUAAUGCACCAGAUCCCAUCAGAACUCCGAAGUUAAACGUGCUUGGGCGAGAGUAGUACUAAGAUGGGUGACCUCUUGGGAAGUCCUCGAGUUGCACCCCCCCUCUCUACACAAAAUGUUUUGCCCCCAGCGUCGUCGACCCUUCUAACGAUAGACGACGUUAUCUAUAUGGUUAGCGAGAUUACAUCAUUUAUAUUACAUGAAUAAUGACGGAGAGUAACCGAGAAAGGGGGUAUUUUCCAGGCUCGGGCGGGUAUUUUCGAGGCUCGUGCGGGAACGGUCGAAAUGUAAUUGAAAGAAAGCGAAAAGCAUGAAAGUGAAGGGAGGAAGUAGUUACGGGAGUUGUUCAAAUAGACGUGAUCAUGAGAAGUGGACGCGUGCGAUCAUACCAGCACUAAUCCACUUGAUCUCAUCAGAAUUCCGAAGUUAAACGUGCUUGGGCGAGAGUACUACCAAGAUGGGUGAUCGUGUUGCACCCCCUCUUUUUGCAAUUUUUUCACCCGACGACGUUAUCUACACACUUAGCGAGAUUACAUCGUUUAUAUUACAUGAAUAAUGACAGAGGGGAACCGAGAUGGGGGAAUUUUCCAGGCUCAGGUGGGUAUUUUCAAGGCUCGUGCGGGAACGGGGCGAAAUGUAUCUAAAAGAAAGCGAAAAGCAUGAAAAUGAAGGGAGGAAGUAGUGACGGGAGGGGUUCAAAAAAACGCAAUCGUGAGAAAACACGUGAUCGUUAGAAGUGGACGGGUGCGAUCAUACCAGCAGUAAUGCACCGGAUCCCAUCAGAACUCUGAAGUUUAAAGUGGUAGGCCGAGAGUAGUACUAAGAUGGGUGAUCGUGUUGCAUCCCCCGCUUUUUCAAAUUUUUUCCCCCGAUGACGUUAUCUAUACCGUUUGCGAGAUUACAUUAUUUAUAUUACAUGAAUAAUGACGGAGGGGAAUCGGGGGGUAUUUUCCAGGCUCGGGCAGGUAUUUUCGACGCUCGUGCAGGAACGAGGUGAAAUGUAACUAAAAGUAAGCGAAAAGCAUGAAAAUGAAGGGAGGAAGUAGUGACGGGAGUGGUUCAAAUAAGCGUGAUCGUGAGAAGUGGACGGGUGCGAUCAUACCAGCACUAAUGCACCGGAUCCCAUCAGAACUCCGAAGUUAAACGUGCUUGGGCGAGAGUAGUACUAAGAUGGGUGACCUCUUGGGAAGUCCUCGUGUUGCACCCCCCUCCUCUUUUUGCAAUUUUUUCUCCCGGCGACGUUAUGGACACUCUUACCGAGAUUACAUCGUUUAUAUUACACGCAUAAUGAGGGAGGGGAGCCGAGGGAUCGGUCAUUUUCGAGGCUCGGGCGGGAACGGGCUAAAAUGU